AGAGUUUGAUCAUGGCUCAGAUUGAACGCUGGCGGCAGGCCUAACACAUGCAAGUCGAACGGUAACAGGAAACAGCUUGCUGUUUCGCUGACGAGUGGCGGACGGGUGAGUAAUGUCUGGGAAACUGCCUGAUGGAGGGGGAUAACUACUGGAAACGGUAGCUAAUACCGCAUAACGUCGCAAGACCAAAGAGGGGGACCUUCGGGCCUCUUGCCAUCAGAUGUGCCCAGAUGGGAUUAGCUAGUAGGUGGGGUAACGGCUCACCUAGGCGACGAUCCCUAGCUGGUCUGAGAGGAUGACCAGCCACACUGGAACUGAGACACGGUCCAGACUCCUACGGGAGGCAGCAGUGGGGAAUAUUGCACAAUGGGCGCAAGCCUGAUGCAGCCAUGCCGCGUGUAUGAAGAAGGCCUUCGGGUUGUAAAGUACUUUCAGCGGGGAGGAAGGGAGUAAAGUUAAUACCUUUGCUCAUUGACGUUACCCGCAGAAGAAGCACCGGCUAACUCCGUGCCAGCAGCCGCGGUAAUACGGAGGGUGCAAGCGUUAAUCGGAAUUACUGGGCGUAAAGCGCGCGCAGGCGGUUUGUUAAGUCAGAUGUGAAAUCCCCGGGCUCAACCUGGGAACUGCAUCUGAUACUGGCAAGCUUGAGUCUCGUAGAGGGGGGUAGAAUUCCAGGUGUAGCGGUGAAAUGCGUAGAGAUCUGGAGGAAUACCGGUGGCGAAGGCGGCCCCCUGGACGAAGACUGACGCUCAGGUGCGAAAGCGUGGGGAGCAAACAGGAUUAGAUACCCUGGUAGUCCACGCCGUAAACGAUGUCGACUUGGAGGUUGUGCCCUUGAGGCGUGGCUUCCGGAGCUAACGCGUUAAGUCGACCGCCUGGGGAGUACGGCCGCAAGGUUAAAACUCAAAUGAAUUGACGUGGGCCCGCACAAGCGGUGGAGCAUGUGGUUUAAUUCGAUGCAACGCGAAGAACCUUACCUGGUCUUGACAUCCACGGAAGUUUUCAGAGAUGAGAAUGUGCCUUCGGGAACCGUGAGACAGGUGCUGCAUAGCUGUCGUCAGCUCGUGUUGUGAAAUGUUGGGUUAAGUCCCGCAACGAGCGCAACCCUUAUCCUUUGUUGCCAGCGGUCCGGCCGGGAACUCAAAGGAGACUGCCAGUGAUAAACUGGAGGAAGGUGGGGAUGACGUCAAGUCAUCAUGGCCCUUACGACCAGGGCUACACACGUGCUACAAUGGCGCAUACAAAGAGAAGCGACCUCGCGAGAGCAAGCGGACCUCAUAAAGUGCGUCGUAGUCCGGAUUGGAGUCUGCAACUCGACUCCAUGAAGUCGGAAUCGCUAGUAAUCGUGGAUCAGAAUGCCACGGUGAAUACGUUCCCGGGCCUUGUACACACCGCCCGUCACACCAUGGGAGUGGGUUGCAAAAGAAGUAGGUAGCUUAACCUUCGGGAGGGCGCUUACCACUUUGUGAUUCAUGACUGGGGUGAAGUCGAAACAAGGUAACCGUAGGGGAACCUGCGGUUG
rnacentral:rRNA from 1 species